GACGAACGCUGGCGGCGUGCCUAAUACAUGCAAGUCGAACGCUGAAGGAGGAGCUUGCUCUUCUGGAUGAGUUGCGAACGGGUGAGUAACGCGUAGGUAACCUGCCUGGUAGCGGGGGAUAACUAUUGGAAACGAUAGCUAAUACCGCAUAACAGUAGAUGUUGCAUGACAUUUACUUAAAAGGUGCAAUUGCAUCACUACCAGAUGGACCUGCGUUGUAUUAGCUAGUUGGUGGGGUAACGGCUCACCAAGGCGACGAUACAUAGCCGACCUGAGAGGGGGAUCGGCCACACUGGGACUGAGACACGGCCCAGACUCCUACGGGAGGCAGCAGUAGGGAAUCUUCGGCAAGGGACGGAAGUCUGACCGAGCAACGCCGCGGGAGUGAAGAAGGUUUUCGGAUCGUAAAGCUCUGUUGUAAGAGAAGAACGAGUGUGAGAGUGGAAAGUUCACACUGUGACGGUAUCUGAUCAGAAAGGGACGGCUAACUACGUG
rnacentral:rRNA from 1 species